GGUGAGUAACACGUGGAUAACCUACCUAUAAGACUGGGAUAACUUCGGGAAACCGGAGCUAAUACCGGAUAAUAUUUUGAACCGCAUGGUUCAAAAGUGAAAGACGGUCUUGCUGUCACUUAUAGAUGGAUCCGCGCUGCAUUAGCUAGUUGGUAAGGUAACGGCUUACCAAGGCAACGAUGCAUAGCCGACCUGAGAGGGUGAUCGGCCACACUGGAACUGAGACACGGUCCAG
rnacentral:rRNA from 1 species